UGAUGGGAACCCUACCGAAUUUUCGGUAGAUCUACCGAUUAAUUCUAUCGAUCUACCGAUGACGGAAGAAAUUCUACCGAAAAUUAUCAUUCAAUUCUUCUGUAUAAUUUUGGGGUCCCGUGAAAACAAUCGGAAUAGUUUAUUACUUUUUAUCUUUGCAUUUUAUUAUGUACUUCCAGAAUUGCAAAAUACUCUUCAGCCUAUUUCGAAAGGAGGUCAAAAACAUUCCAGCAGAGGGAUAUUUCGAAAAAAGAGCUCAUGUUGAAUACAUAAACUAACAAUUCAGUGAUUUUUUCAAAAAAUAGGAACUAAGAACACAUGUAUUCUUAUAUCAUGGUUCUCCUUCCCAUCACUGGCUGACCCGCUGACCGCCAUAAUGGUUGAUGUGCAUGGCAUGGCGUUCGUAGAGAAAAUUGUAGUUGUUUGGAAGGUAAAUUGCAUCUUAUAUUUAAUACACAUAACAAAUUGUAAUCCAAGGAUCAGAUUAGUUUUAAGACAUUUCAAAAAUUCUAUUCUAAAUCUACACAAAAAUAGUUCUUCAAUUAAGCAGGGUUUCAAUAAAAAUUUCUUUACAACAUACCAACACCAUGUCCCUGCGUUUUCAAAGGACUUGACUGGCACUUAACUUUCAACUCACCUUUUGCCUGUCUUCUUCGUUUACAAUCGAAGUCCAGCCUUCGCCCAGACAGUUUUUUCCUGUGAUGCUGUAACAUUUUAUUUUUUGAGUACAAGGAUGCCAUAUUGACAUAUCAUUUACCAUAACUUCCUUGAGAUCCUUAGUUUGUAAGUGAUGUAAGGGUUCCAAGAAGUUCUGCUUGAUAUUGUCAUCAAAUAGUGUGAUGACAAUAUUUUACUUGGCUUCAACAAUACAGAAGGAGAGGAUCUUCGUCAAGUAUCAAUUCGAUUAUAGAUUCAUUGAUUUAUUUUAUGAAUCACAUUGAAUAUUAACAAGAAGAAAGGAGGAUCACGUGGCCCAUGGGAGGUGAUGAAAGAUCGAGUAAAACAUGAGAUGUGAAGUAAGUGAUAGGGCUUUUGUGGUCUUUUAGAGGUAUUUCAGGAUUCAUCUAUUUGACGAGCCAAUCGAAAUAAAAAUAUCCAAUAUUCUUCUUUGUGGUAGCCUACAUCUGAGGGUAGUGCGAUUUAUGUUGUUGUUGUUGUUGUUUGUUGGGGCAUUUUUAUGAUAUUUUCAGCAGUGAAGAUUAUUCUUCAUAUCAACAUUUUUUUAUCACCAUAAAUUUUUUAUUUUAGGUUUUUAUAUAUAUAACAAGGGUAAGAUGUACAUACUUAUCCCAAGGCGGCAAUAAUAGAAUGAAUUAUAUUUCAGGGUAACAACUAGAAGAAACAAUAAUUAUGGCAUCAAAAAAUAUAUUUAAUGCUGAUGCAUUAAUUCAUGUAAUCGGGUGAUUACAUGAAUUCCGAGCCUUUCGAACACGUUAGUUAUGGGAGUAUAGUAUUUUGAUGUAUGUACAGUGUGACAAAGAAAAAAUCAGAAAUAAAUAUCUGUUGUAUACAA